GGAAAUUUGAGAGGAUCUGCUCCUAGUACGAGAGGACCAGAGUGGACGAACCUCUGGUGUACCGGUUGUGACGCCAGUCGCAUCGCCGGGUAGCUAUGUUCGGAAGGGAUAACCGCUGAAAGCAUCUAAGCGGGAAGCCUACCUCAAGAUAAGAUUUCCCUAGGAAUUUAUUCCUCUAAAGAGCCGUUCAAGACUAGGACGUUGAUAGGUUGGAUGUGGAAGCAUAGUGAUAUGUGAAGCUGACCAAUACUAAUUGCUCGUGAGGCUUGACUAUACAACACCCAAACAGUUG
rnacentral:rRNA from 1 species